rnacentral:rRNA from 1 species
ACAGCAGCCGCCGCGGGAAUACGAAGGGUGCAAGCGUUAAUCGGAAUCACUGGGCGUAAAGCGUGCGUAGGCGGUGAGUUAAGUCUGCUGUGAAAUCCCCGGGCUCAACCUGGGAAUGGCAGUGGAUACUGGCUCGCUAGAGUGUGUCAGAGGAUGGUGGAAUUCCCGGUGUAGCGGUGAAAUGCGUAGAGAUCGGGAGGAACAUCAGUGGCGAAGGCGGCCAUCUGGGACAACACUGACGCUGAGGCACGAAAGCGUGGGGAGCAAACAGGAUUAGAUACCCCCGUAGUCCCUGUCUCUUAUAC